rnacentral:rRNA from 1 species
ACGAACGCUGGCGGCGUGCUUAACACAUGCAAGUCGAACGGUGAAGCGCCUUCCUUUUUGGUGGGUGUGGAUGAGUGGCGAACGGGUGAGUAACACGUGAGUAACCUGCCCCCUUCUUCUGGAUAACCGCAUGAAAGUGUGGCUAAUACGGGAUAUUCUGGGUCUGUCGCAUGAUGGGUCUGGGAAAGAUAUUGUUUCGGUGGGGGAUGGGCUCGCGGCCUAUCAGCUUGUUGGUGGGGUGAUGGCCUACCAAGGCGGUGACGGGUAGCCAGCCUGAGAGGGUGGACGGUCACACUGGGACUGAGACACGGCCCGGACUCCUACGGGAGGCAGCAGUGGGGAAUAUUGCACAAUGGGCGCAAGCCUGAUGCAGCGACGCCGCGUGAGGGAUGGAGGCCUUCGGGUUGUGAACCUCUUUCGCCAGUGAAGCAGGCCUGCCUCGUUUGUGGGUGGGUUGACGGUAGCUGGAUAAGAAGCGCCGGCUAACUACGUG